UACGGAGGAUCCAAGCGUUGUUCGGAAUCAUUGGGCGUAAAGCGGGUGUAGGUGGCUAUGUAAGUCGAGUGUGAAAGCCUGGGGCUCAACCCCAGAAGUGCAUUCGAUACUGCGUAGCUUGAGUGGUAGAGAGGAUAGUAGAAUUGUUGGUGUAGUGGUGAAAUACGUAGAUAUCAACAGGAAUACCGGUGGCGAAGGCGGCUAUCUGGCUACACACUGACACUCAGACCCGAAAGUGCGGGGAUCAAACAGG
rnacentral:rRNA from 1 species